CAAUUAAAGCCAUCCCAUAAUAAUAUAUUAAAUUUUUAAAAAGACAUCAUAAAAAUAGGAAAAGAAUAAUCAAGUCAAAGAAAAUAAUGAAAUACUAUAAAAGGGAAUUCAUUUUUGUAGAGAAACAGAACUGGCCAUCUAAUGAUUGAAGAAGAGCUGAGUAGCACAGUAGAUUGGAAAUUUUCAAUAGUACUGUCACAAUUCAAACACGGUAUACACAGGAUAAGAACCAAUCUCAAGACCACUUGCUUAUGUUAAUUGCAUGCCCGAAAUUUGGUUUGGCUUCAAACUGCUCAGAUAAUAGAAAACUGAGUCUUGAUGGGCUCAGUUGUGGGGGCGUGAGCCGUGAGGUGUAGAACUGGUGAGGGCUUGAGCUGUGUGGCCGGUGGCGGACUAGCGAAGAAUUGGUGAGGUUUGAGGAUUGAGGGUGAGGGUAACAGGGACUCAGGGAGUGAGGCGGAU
rnacentral:lncRNA from 1 species